AGCGCGCUCCAGCUGCCGGGACGGAGGGGGCGGCCCACGCGCUCGGGCCGCUCGGCUGCAGCUGCGGGGCCCGAGGUCUCCGCGCACUCGCUCCCGGCCCAUGCUGGAGGCGGCGGAACCGCGGGGACCCAGGACGGAGGCGGCGGGCGCUGGGCUGCCCCCGGCACGCUGAGCUCGGGAUGCGGACGCUGCUGCCGCCCGCGCUGCUGACCUGCUGGCUGCUAGCCCCCGUGAACGGCAUUCACCCAGAAUGCCGAUUUCAUCUGGAAAUACAGGAGGAAGAAACAAAAUGUGCAGAGCUUCUGAGGUCUCAAACAGAAAAACACAAAGCCUGCAGUGGCAUCUGGGACAACAUCACAUGCUGGCGGCCUGCCAAUGUGGGAGAGAUGGUCACGGUGCCCUGCCCAAAAGUCUUCAGCAAUUUUUACAGCAAAGCAGGAAACAUAAGCAAAAACUGUACAAGUGACGGAUGGUCAGAGACGUUCCCAGAUUUCGUCGAUGCCUGUGGCUACAGCGACCCGGAGGACGAGAGCAAGAUCACGUUUUAUAUUCUGGUGAAGGCCAUUUAUACCCUGGGCUACAGUGUCUCUCUGAUGUCUCUUGCAACAGGAAGCAUAAUUCUGUGCCUCUUCAGGAAGCUGCACUGCACCAGGAAUUACAUCCACCUGAACCUGUUCCUGUCCUUCAUCCUGAGAGCCAUCUCAGUGCUGGUCAAGGACGACGUUCUCUACUCCAGCUCGGGCACGUUGCACUGCCCUGACCAGCCGUCCUCCUGGGUGGGCUGCAAGCUGAGCCUGGUCUUCCUGCAGUACUGCAUCAUGGCCAACUUCUUCUGGCUGCUGGUGGAGGGGCUCUACCUCCACACCCUCCUGGUGGCCAUGCUCCCUCCCAGAAGGUGCUUCCUGGCCUACCUCCUGAUCGGAUGGGGCCUCCCCACCGUCUGCAUCGGUGCAUGGACUGCGGCCAGGCUCUACUUAGAAGACACCGGUUGCUGGGAUACAAACGACCACAGUGUGCCCUGGUGGGUCAUACGAAUACCGAUUUUAAUUUCCAUCAUUGUCAAUUUUGUCCUUUUCAUUAGUAUUAUACGAAUUUUGCUGCAGAAGUUAACAUCCCCAGAUGUCGGCGGCAACGACCAGUCUCAGUACAAGAGGCUGGCCAAGUCCACGCUCCUGCUCAUCCCGCUGUUUGGCGUCCACUACAUGGUGUUUGCCGUGUUUCCCAUCAGCAUCUCCUCCAAAUACCAGAUACUGUUUGAACUGUGCCUCGGGUCGUUCCAGGGCCUGGUGGUGGCCGUCCUCUACUGUUUCCUGAACAGUGAGGUAAGUUCAUGGCCUCCUUGGAACCAAGCGCAGGUACUCAGUUGGUUCCUGAAAUGCUGCCCAGUCUGGUGCCGUGGCCCCCACACACGCCUGUCUUCCAUGGGCUCAACUCACUGCCCAGGCCCCCACAGUUCUCUGUGUCCCCAUCAGAGAACCCACAACGACACAGGCAAACCCACUCUUCUGGGCCCGGCUUCCAAACCCCGCCGUCCUUCCGUCCACCCCAAGUAGCAUCGACUGCCGUCCGUCUCGGAGCCCUCUCGGGAAAGCUCCCGGCCGGGUCUAGACAGAAUCUGUUUUUCCCCAUGGUCAGCGUCUCGCUCCUGACCAUAGCUUGUGCAGUGCGAGCUGAAGCGAAAAUGGCGAAGCCGGUGCCCGACCCCGUCCACGAGCCGGGAUUACAGGGUCUGCGGCUCCUCCAUCUCCCGCAACGGCUCGGAGGGCGCCCUGCAGUCCCACCGCGGCUCCCGCGCCCAGUCCUUCCUGCAGACGGAGACCUCGGUCCUCUAGCCCCACCCCUGCCUGUCGGACGCGGCGCGAGGCCCAGGGUGCGGGGCUUCUGCGGGGCUGAGACGCCGGCUUCCUCCUUCCAGAUG